rnacentral:rRNA from 1 species
UACGUAGGGUGCAAGCGUUGUCCGGAAUUAUUGGGCGUAAAGAGCUUGUAGGCGGUUUGUCGCGUCUGCUGUGAAAAUCCGGGGCUCAACCCCGGACUUGCAGUGGGUACGGGCAGACUAGAGUGUGGUAGGGGAGACUGGAAUUCCUGGUGUAGCGGUGAAAUGCGCAGAUAUCAGGAGGAAUACCGAUGGCGAAGGCAGGUCUCUGGGCCACUACUGACGCUGAGAAGCGAAAGCAUGGGGGAGCGAACAGGAUUAGAUACCACGAGUCAG